rnacentral:rRNA from 1 species
GACAGAGGGUGCAAACGUUGUUCGGAAUUACUGGGCGUAAAGCGCGUGUAGGCGGCUCGGAAAGUCGGAUGUGAAAGCCCAGGGCUCAACCCUGGAAGUGCACUCGAAACUCCCGAGCUGGAGUCCCGGAGAGGAAGGCGGAAUUCUCGGUGUAGAGGUGAAAUUCGUAGAUAUCGAGAGGAACACCUGUGGCGAAGGCGGCCUUCUGGACGGUGACUGACGCUGAGACGCGAAAGCGUGGGGAGCAAACAGG